rnacentral:rRNA from 1 species
AUACGUAGGGUGCGAGCGUUAAUCGGAAUUACUGGGCGUAAAGCGUGCGCAGGCGGUUUUGUAAGUCAGAUGUGAAAUCCCCGGGCUUAACCUGGGAACUGCGUUUGAAACUGCAAGGCUAGAGUGUGGCAGAGGGGGGUGGAAUUCCGCGUGUAGCAGUGAAAUGCGUAGAGAUAUGGAGGAACACCAAUGGCGAAGGCAGCCCCUGGGUCAACACUGACGCUCAGGCACGAAAGCAUGGGGAGCAAACAGGAUUAGAUACCCCAGUAGUCC